rnacentral:sRNA from 1 species
UUCUAGCCCAGAUAGCAGUGAAAAGCUUUUUGAAAUCGUGUUGCAUUUUUUAUUGCACGAAAAGAGCGACUGCAAGAAGCUCCUUUUCUUGCUUAUAAAAAAUCAAAUCCGAUGAUAAAACUUGUAACGGAUAGCUGGAUUAGCU